rnacentral:rRNA from 1 species
UACAGAGGUCUCGAGCGUUGUUCGGAUUUAUUGGGCGUAAAGGGUGCGUAGGCGGUAUGGCAAGUCAAGUGUGAAAUCUCGGAGCUCAACUUCGAAACUGCACUUGAUACUACUAUGCUAGAGGGUUGUAGAGGAGACCGGAAUUCACGGUGUAGCAGUGAAAUGCGUAGAUAUCGUGAGGAAGACCAGUUGCGAAAGCGGGUCUCUGGGCAAUUCCUGACGCUGAGGCACGAAGGCUAGGGGAGCAAACGGG